rnacentral:rRNA from 1 species
UGAGUCCUACGGGGGGCAGCAGUGGGGGAUAUUGCACAAUGGGGGGAACCCUGAUGCAGCGACGCCGCGUGGGCGAUGGAGUGCUUCGGCAUGUAAAGCCCUAUCAGCAGGGAAGAAAAUGACGGUACCUGACUAAGAAGCACCGGCUAAAUACGUGCCAGCAGCCGCGGUAAUACGUAUGGUGCAAGCGUUAUCCGGAUUUACUGGGUGUAAAGGGAGCGUAGGCGGCGCGUUAAGUCUGAUGUGAAAACCCGAGGCUCAACCA